UACGUAGGGGGCAAGCGUUGUCCGGAAUCAUUGGGCGUAAAGAGCGUGUAGGCGGCCAGAAAAGUCCGCUGUGAAAACUCGAGGCUCAACUUCGAGCUGUCGGUGGAAACUUUCUGGCUAGAGUCCGGAAGAGGAGAAUGGAAUUCCUGGUGUAGCGGUGAAAUGCGCAGAUAUCAGGAGGAACACCGGUGGCGAAGGCGGUUCUCUGGGCAUUACCUGACGCUGAGGAGCGAAAGUGUGGGGAGCGAACAGG
rnacentral:rRNA from 1 species